GAACGCUGGCGGCAGGCCUAGCACAUGCAAGUCGAGCGGUAGCACAGAGAGCUUGCUCUCGGGUGACGAGCGGCGGACGGGUGAGUAAUGUCUGGGAAACUGCCUGAUGGAGGGGGAUAACUACUGGAAACGGUAGCUAAUACCGCAUAACGUCGCAAGACCAAAGUGGGGGACCUUCGGGCCUCAUGCCAUCAGAUGUGCCCAGAUGGGAUUAGCUAGUAGGUGGGGUAACGGCUCACCUAGGCGACGAUCCCUAGCUGGUCUGAGAGGAUGACCAGCCACACUGGAACUGAGACACGGUCCAGACUCCUACGGGAGGCAGCAGUGGGGAAUAUUGCACAAUGGGCGCAAGCCUGAUGCAGCCAUGCCGCGUGUGUGAAGAAGGCCUUCGGGUUGUAAAGCACUUUCAGCGGGGAGGAAGGCGUUAAGGUUAAUAACCUUGGCGAUUGACGUUACCCGCAGAAGAAGCACCGGCUAACUCCGUGCCAGCAGCCGCGGUAAUACGGAGGGUGCAAGCGUUAAUCGGAAUUACUGGGCGUAAAGCGCACGCAGGCGGUCUGUCAAGUCGGAUGUGAAAUCCCCGGGCUCAACCUGGGAACUGCAUUCGAAACUGGCAGGCUAGAGUCUUGUAGAGGGGGGUAGAAUUCCAGGUGUAGCGGUGAAAUGCGUAGAGAUCUGGAGGAAUACCGGUGGCGAAGGCGGCCCCCUGGACAAAGACUGACGCUCAGGUGCGAAAGCGUGGGGAGCAAACAGGAUUAGAUACCCUGGUAGUCCACGCCGUAAACGAUGUCGAUUUGGAGGUUGUGCCCUUGAGGCGUGGCUUCCGGAGCUAACGCGUUAAAUCGACCGCCUGGGGAGUACGGCCGCAAGGUUAAAACUCAAAUGAAUUGACGGGGGCCCGCACAAGCGGUGGAGCAUGUGGUUUAAUUCGAUGCAACGCGAAGAACCUUACCUGGUCUUGACAUCCACAGAACUUUCCAGAGAUGGAUUGGUGCCUUCGGGAACUGUGAGACAGGUGCUGCAUGGCUGUCGUCAGCUCGUGUUGUGAAAUGUUGGGUUAAGUCCCGCAACGAGCGCAACCCUUAUCCUUUGUUGCCAGCGGUCCGGCCGGGAACUCAAAGGAGACUGCCAGUGAUAAACUGGAGGAAGGUGGGGAUGACGUCAAGUCAUCAUGGCCCUUACGACCAGGGCUACACACGUGCUACAAUGGCAUAUACAAAGAGAAGCGACCUCGCGAGAGCAAGCGGACCUCAUAAAGUAUGUCGUAGUCCGGAUUGGAGUCUGCAACUCGACUCCAUGAAGUCGGAAUCGCUAGUAAUCGUAGAUCAGAAUGCUACGGUGAAUACGUUCCCGGGCCUUGUACACACCGCCCGUCACACCAUGGGAGUGGGUUGCAAAAGAAGUAGGUAGCUUAACCUUCGGGAGGGCGCUUACCACUUUGUGAUUCAUGACUGGGGUG
rnacentral:rRNA from 1 species